CAGGGGCAGAUUUCCAUUAAUGGGGGUUGGAGUUGUACAGGGCAUGUGCACAAUAUCCUCCACGGCGUCUUCAUCAUCUUCAACUUAAACAAGGUGACGAAGGCUAUGUUCUCAGCUUUGCCAGCGGCCCCUACAAUGGAUGAAGUUUUGACUCACAUCAUGUUAUGCUUAUCCGAAAAGAUUCCAGCUGAUUUAUUUGGAGAUGUUGUAUCACUUUUAGACAUACAAAAUAGAUCUGGUCAAGACCAGUGCAUAUGUAUGUUGAUAAUAUAUGUGUGUAUUGUAUUGCUAAAUUUUAUAUUUAGAACAAAUCUAUUUAUUCU